CAGCCGCCGCGGUAAUACGUAGGUGGCAAGCGUUGUCCGGAAUUAUUGGGCGUAAAGGGCUCGCAGGCGGUUUCUUAAGUCUGAUGUGAAAGCCCCCGGCUCAACCGGGGAGGGUCAUUGGAAACUGGGAAACUUGAGUGCAGAAGAGGAGAGUGGAUUUCCACGUGUAGCGGUGAAAUGCGUAGAGAUGUGGAGGAACACCAGUGGCGAAGGCGACUCUCUGGUCUGUAACUGACGCUGAGGAGCGAAAGCGUGGGGAGCGAACAGGAUUAGAUACCCCGGUAGUCCCUGUCUCUUAUAC
rnacentral:rRNA from 1 species